rnacentral:tRNA from 2 species
AUCGGGUGAUUAGCUCAGCUGGGAGAGCACCUCCCUUACAAGGAGGGGGUCGGCGGUUCGAUCCCGUCAUCAC